rnacentral:rRNA from 1 species
UACGAGAGGCCCAACCGUUAUUCGGAAUUACUGGGCUUAAAGAGUUCGUAGGCGGCGCGGAAAGUAGGGUGUGAAAGCCCUCGGCUCAACCGAGGAAUUGCGCUCUAAACUGCCGUGCUUGAGGAACCUAGAGGUGAGCAGAACUGAUGGUGGAGCGGUGAAAUGCGUUGAUAUCAUCAGGAAUACCGGAGGCGAAGGCGGCUCACUGGGGGUUAUCUGACGCUGAGGAACGAAAGCCAGGGGAGCGAACGGG